UACGGGAGGCAGCAGGGGGAAUAUUGGACAAUGGGCGAAAGCCUGAUCCAGCCAUGCCGCAUGAGUGAAGAAGGCCUUCGGGUUGUAAAGCUCUUUUAGUGAGAAAGAUAAUGACGGUACUCACAGAAGAAGUCCUGGCUAACUCCGUGCCAGCAGCCGCGGUAAUACGGAGAGGGCUAGCGUUAUUCGGAAUUAUUGGGCGUAAAGAGCGCGUAGGCUGAUUAGUAAGUUAAAAGUGAAAUCCCAAAGCUUAAACUUUGGAAUUGCUUUUUAAAACUGCUAGUCUAGAGAUUGAAAGAGGAUAGAGGAAUUCCUAGUGUAGAGGUGAAAUUCGUAAAUAUUAGGAGGAACACCAGUGGCGAAGGCGUCUAUCUGGUUCAAAUCUGACGCUGAGGCGCGAAGGGCGUGGGGAGCAAACAGGGAUUUAGAUACC
rnacentral:rRNA from 1 species